AAAGGGGGGAAUCUACUACUGCGUCCAGUCGGCUAACGCGUUCCGUUGAAUGACGUGCUUGCACUGAUUUCAACAAUGAAGCGAGUGGCGAACUGGUGAGUAACACGUGGGGAAUCUGCCCAGAAGCAGGGGAUAACACUUGGAAACAGGUGCUAAUACCGUAUAACAACAAAAUCCGCAUGGAUUUUGUUUGAAAGGUGGCUUCGGCUAUCACUUCUGGAUGAUCCCGCGGCGUAUUAGUUAGUUGGUGAGGUAAAGGCCCACCAAGACGAUGAUACGUAGCCGACCUGAGAGGGUAAUCGGCCACAUUGGGACUGAGACACGGCCCAAACUCCUACGGGAGGCAGCAGUAGGGAAUCUUCCACAAUGGACGAAAGUCUGAUGGAGCAAUGCCGCGUGAGUGAAGAAGGGUUUCGGCUCGUAAAACUCUGUUGUUAAAGAAGAACACCUUUGAGAGUAACUGUUCAAGGGUUGACGGUAUUUAACCAGAAAGCCACGGCUAACUACGUGCCAGCAGCCGCGGUAAUACGUAGGUGGCAAGCGUUGUCCGGAUUUAUUGGGCGUAAAGCGAGCGCAGGCGGUUUUUUAAGUCUGAUGUGAAAGCCUUCGGCUUAACCGGAGAAGUGCAUCGGAAACUGGGAGACUUGAGUGCAGAAGAGGACAGUGGAACUCCAUGUGUAGCGGUGGAAUGCGUAGAUAUAUGGAAGAACACCAGUGGCGGAGGCGGCUGUCUAGUCUGUAACUGACGCUGAGGCUCGAAAGCAUGGGUAGCGAACAAGAUUAGAUACCCUGGUAGUCCAUGCCGUAACGAUGAGUGCUAAGUGUUGGAGGGUUUCCGCUCCUUCAUGC
rnacentral:rRNA from 2 species